UGGGGAAUAUUGGACAAUGGGCGAAAGCCUGAUCCAGCGACGCCGCGUGGGUGAAGAAGGCCUGCGGGUUGUAAAGCCCUUUCGGUAGGGACGAAAGCUCUUGCUCUAAUAAGGCAGGAGGUUGACUUAACCUACAUAAGAAGCACCGGCUAACUCUGUGCCAGCAGCCGCGGUAAUACAGAGGGUGCGAGCGUUAAUCGGAAUUACUGGGCGUAAAGCGCACGUAGUCGGCUUGUCAAGUCGGGUGUGAAAUCCCCGGGCUCAACCUGGGAACUGCAUCCGAGACUGACUUGCUAGAGUAUGGGAGAGGGAAGCGGAAUUUCUGGUGUAGCAGUGAAAUGCGUAGAUAUCAGAAGGAACAUCAGUGGCGAAGGCGGCUUCCUGGACCAAUACUGACGAUCAGGUGCGAAAGCGUGGGGAGCAAACAGG
rnacentral:rRNA from 1 species